rnacentral:misc_RNA from 1 species
GAUGAAGAACGUAGCGAAAUGCGAUAAGUAGUGUGAAUUGCAGAAUUCAGUGAAUCAUCGAAUCUUUGAACGCACAUUGCGCCCCUUGGUAUUCCAUGGGGCAUGCCUGUUCGAGUGUCAUUUGUACCUUCAAGCUCUGCUUGGUGUUGGGUGUUUGUCUCGCCUCUGCGUGUAGACUCGCCUCAAAACAAAUGGCAGCCGGCGUAUUGAUUUCGGAGCGCAGUACAUCUCGCGCUUUGCACUCAUAACGACGACGUCCAAAAGUACAUUUUUACACUCUUGACCUCGGAUCAGGUAGGGAUACCCGCUGAACUUAAGCAUAUCAAUAAGCGGAGGA